CAGAGGUCUGGCUUCCUCUCUGGCAAGGUAAUUGACAGUGGUCAUGAUGGCAGCUGCUCCCGCAGCCAGACGCCCUGAGUGACCAUGGAAAUGAACUGUAGACGUCAAGUUCAUGAGUGAUGGGAAGGUUGGCGGGAAGAGGAAGAGACUAAGGCGUUAGCACUUGAUCCCACACGCUGGGGGAGAGAGAACUCCUUUUGACUUUGGAUGCUGGCUUGCGAUCUGUACUCAAGGACCAAGUGUUGUGGGUACAUGUUUAUUACUUCUUUCUUACUUUGUUAUUAAAUCCGUGUGUUGUUGUUACACUGGACCUACUGAUUAGAAAAUGUGCUUCUCCAAUUCAGGAGCAUUUUUGUCAGCAGCAUUUCCCCACAAAAUUAAACAUUCUUCUACCUCA